CAAUACAGGAUAAAAUUAGUGGCAAACGAGCGAGUAACGCGUACUUAAUCUGCCCAAAAGUUGAGAACAACUAUAGAGAUGUAGCUAAUUCUCAAUAUGCUCACGAUGGUGAAAUCCCAAUGUGAGGAAAGAUUUAUCGCUUUUGGAGGAGGGUGCGUCCUAUCAUGGCAGUUGGUAAGGUAAUAGCUUACCAAGCCUUUGACGGGUAGCCGGUCUGAGAUGAUGUCCGGCCGCGAUGGAACUGAGACACGGUCCAUACUCC
rnacentral:rRNA from 1 species